rnacentral:rRNA from 1 species
UACGGGGGGGGCAAGCGUUGUUCGGAAUUACUGGGCGUAAAGGGCUCGUAGGCGGCCAACUAAGUCGGACGUGAAAUCCCUCGGCUUAACCGGGGAACUGCUUCCGAUACUGGAUGGCUUGAGUGUGGGAGAGGGAUGCGGAAUUCCAGGUGUAGCGGUGAAAUGCGUAGAUAUCUGGAGGAACACCGGUGGCGAAGGCGGCAUCCUGGACCAACACUGACGCUGAGGAGCGAAAGCCAGGGGAGCAAACGGG